AUUGAACGCUGGCGGCAGGCCUAACACAUGCAAGUCGAACGAGUGGCGGAGGGGUGAGUAAUGCUUGGGAAUCUCGCUUAUGGAGGGGGAUACCUACGGGAAACUGUAGCUAAUACCGCGUACCAUAGGAUGAGCCCAAGUGGGAUUAGGUAGUUGGUGGGGUAAUGGCCUACCAAGCCGACGAUCUCUAGUUGGUCUGAGAGGAUGACCAGCCACACGGGGACUGAGACACGGCCCGAACUCCUACGGGAGGCAGCAGUGGGGAAUAUUGCGCAAUGGGGGCAACCUGACGCAGCCAUGCCGCGUGAAUGAAGAAGGCCUUCGGGUUGUAAAGUUCUUUCGGUGGCGAAGCGUUAAUCACAGAAGAAGCACCGGCUAACUCCGUGCCAGCAGCCGCGGUAAUAC
rnacentral:rRNA from 1 species